rnacentral:rRNA from 1 species
CGAAUUCAGACAAACUCCGAAUGCCAAUUAAUUUAACUUGGGAGUCAGAACAUGGGUGAUAAGGUCCGUGUUCGAAAGGGAAACAGCCCAGACCACCAGCUAAGGUCCCAAAAUAUAUGUUAAGUGGAAAAGGAUGUGGCGUUGCCCAGACAACUAGGAUGUUGGCUUAGAAGCAGCCAUCAUUUAAAGAGUGCGUAAUAGCUCACUAGUCGAGUGACACUGCGCCGAAAAUGUACCGGGGCUAAACAUAUUACCGAAGCUGUGGAUUGUCCUUUGGACAAUGGUAGGAGAGCGUUCU